rnacentral:rRNA from 1 species
GACGAACGCUGGCGGCGUGCCUAAUACAUGCAAGUCGAACGCUGAAGGAGGAGCUUGCUUCUCUGGAUGAGUUGCGAACGGGUGAGUAACGCGUAGGUAACCUGCCUGGUAGCGGGGGAUAACUAUUGGAAACGAUAGCUAAUACCGCAUAAUAGUAGAUGUUGCAUGACAUUUGCUUAAAAGGUGCAAUUGCAUCACUACCAGAUGGACCUGCGUUGUAUUAGCUAGUUGGUGGGGUAACGGCUCACCAAGGCGACUAUACAUAGGCGACCUGAGAGGGUGAUCGGCCACACUGGGACUGAGACACGGCCCAGACUCUUACGGGAGGCAGCAGUAGGGAAUCUUAGGCAAUGGACGGAAGUCUGACCGAGCAACGCCGCGUGAGUGAAGAAGGUUUUCGGCUCGUAAAGCUCUGUUGUAAGAGAAGAACGAGUGUGAGAGUGGAAAGUUCACACUGUGACGGUAUCUUACAAGAAAGGGGCGGCUAACUACGU